UCAUUUGAAGGGUCAGAAUCAGUACCAAUCCACAUUCUCAGGGGAGAAAGACUCACCUGUGUUACGGCCCAGAGAAGAGGGAGAAAGGAGAGAGGGUGGCAGGCAGACAGAAAGGAAUGGGGCAGCUGGCCAGAACUUGGUCACCUGAAAGAAAAACACAAUGUUCAGCUUUCUUAUCAUACAAACGCUUCAUUUUUUUGUCUGUGCAGAUGAUAGUUUCUCUUUUGCCAACUGUGUAGCAGUAAAGAGUCUGCUUAAACCCAUUAACAUAAUGCAACAAGUUUUGUGGUGGUUCAGCAUCUUUCCACUCAUCUCGCAAAACGGUUUCUGGCCCACACACAGUUUUGAAACAGCUGCCUGACCAAAAUUGCCUCAUUGCGACUCCAGAAAGGUGGAAGAAACGGCAAACAUUUCAUGUCAACUUCUUAAAACCUUACCAUGUUCGUGCUGAGACUGUAUUGGUGGAUGAAAUUCACCCUGUAUGCAUUGGUGAAACAGUGACCUCUGCUGGAGGUGAAUGGAAUGGCGAUGGGUUGCCUGCUCCAGAUUCAGCCAUUCUAACUGGUCGACUUAAGAAUUCUGAAGUACUGAAAAACUUGGACAUUGUGCUGAGUUAUUGUGACGUCCCCCUCCACUUGACGUGGAGGGAUCCAUCAGUUAUUGUGUUUUGUCCUGAGGCGGAGCAGAGUGGGCGGGACCAGGAUUCGCCAGGAUCAGCGCAUCAUCGCUAUAAAAGGGAGUCGGCUUCUCCACCCAGCAGGGCUCUACAGAGAACUUCUCCGGUUAUCACUGACUUCAGAGAUGCCGUCGACCACCGAGGGGGAUACCCGCUUGUCGCUGUUUGGGCUUUGUUAAUGUGUUUGGGUUGUUCAAUAAAGAACAUAUUCUUUA